UACGUAGGGUGCAAGCGUUGUCCGGAAUUAUUGGGCGUAAAGAGCUCGUAGGCGGCUCGUCGCGUCGACCGUGAAAACUUGGGGCUUAACCCUAAGCUUGCGGUUGAUACGGGCGGGCUAGAGUUCGGUAGGGGAGACUGGAAUUCCUGGUGUAGCGGUGAAAUGCGCAGAUAUCAGGAGGAACACCGGUGGCGAAGGCGGGUCUCUGGGCCGAUACUGACGCUGAGGAGCGAAAGCGUGGGGAGCGAACAGG
rnacentral:rRNA from 1 species